rnacentral:misc_RNA from 1 species
AAGUCGUAACAAGGUUUCCGUAGGUGAACCUGCGGAAGGAUCAAUCCAAAUUUAUACAAUAACUAAUUGUAUUCAUUUAAAACUGUGGUAAUCUUCAUUUUUAAAUGUUGAUUAUCGCGACUACAAUUAUUUAGACAGUUGUCUAAGGUAGUCAAACAAAAUUUUUAGCCUUUUGAAAUAAAUAAAAUUUGAUACACAACUAUUAGUGGUGGAUCACUUGGCUCGCAGG